GACGAACGCUGGCGGCGUGCCUAAUACAUGCAAGUCGAGCGGACUGAAUGGGAGCUUGCUCUUGUUCGGUCAGCGGCGGACGGGUGAGUAACACGUGGGCAACCUGCCCGCAAGACCGGGAUAACUCCGGGAAACCGGAGCUAAUACCGGAUAACACCGAAGACCGCAUGGUCUUUGGUUGAAAGGCGGCGCAAGCUGCCACUUGCGGAUGGGCCCGCGGCGCAUUAGCGAGUUGGUGAGGUAACGGCUCACCAAGGCGACGAUGCGUAGCCGGCCUGAGAGGGUGACCGGCCACACUGGGACUGAGACACGGCCCAGACUCCUACGGGAGGCAGCAGUAGGGAAUCUUCCGCAAUGGGCGAAAGCCUGACGGAGCGACGCCGCGUGAGCGAAGAAGGCCUUCGGGUCGUAAAGCUCUGUUGUGAGGGACGAAGGAGCGCCGUUUGAAGAAGGCGGCGCGGUGACGGUACCUCACGAGGAAGCCCCGGCUAACUACGUG
rnacentral:rRNA from 1 species